rnacentral:rRNA from 1 species
UUCAUGGAGAGUUUGAUCCUGGCUCAGGACGAACGCUGGCGGCGUGCCUAAUACAUGCAAGUCGAGCGGACCGACGGGAGCUUGCUCCCUUAGGUCAGCGGCGGACGGGUGAGUAACACGUGGGUAACCUGCCUGUAAGACUGGGAUAA